GUGGGGAAUAUUGGACAAUGGGGGGAACCCUGAUCCAGCCAUGCCGCGUGUGUGAAGAAGGCCUUUUGGUUGUAAAGCACUUUAAGCGAGGAGGAGGCUACCGAGAUUAAUACUCUUGGAUAGUGGACGUUACUCGCAGAAUAAGCACCGGCUAACUCUGUGCCAGCAGCCGCGGUAAUACAGAGGGUGCAAGCGUUAAUCGGAUUUACUGGGCGUAAAGCGCGCGUAGGUGGCCAAGUAAGUCAAAUGUGAAAUCCCCGAGCUUAACUUGGGAAUUGCAUUCGAUACUGGUUGGCUAGAGUAUGGGAGAGGAUGGUAGAAUUCCAGGUGUAGCGGUGAAAUGCGUAGAGAUCUGGAGGAAUACCGAUGGCGAAGGCAGCCAUCUGGCCUAAUACUGACACUGAGGUGCGAAAGCAUGGGGAGCAAACAGGAUUAGAAACCCCGGUAGUCC
rnacentral:rRNA from 1 species